AACGCAAGUUGCGCUGCCCUUUACGGGGCAGCAUGCCUCUUUGAGUGUCGGUUUCCAUUCGCCUCUGCGGCCCUUUUUCGAAGGGGCGCGCAGGACACUGGGCGUCGCUGCACACAGCAGCGUCGCCUGAAGAGUCGCGACGUCGGUCCCCGGGGCUUCCCAGCGCGGCUGUGCUCUCCGUGUGGGCGUGGGUAGGUGCGUUCUCGCACACGACACGUCCCGCACGCGCGCAGCCGCCGCCCCGCGGGCAGUAACGUGCGCCGGCCCCGACGUCUCACAAACGUCGGCCCGCCCGGCCGCCCACGGCAGCGCUCGCUGCCGGGGCGAACCCCCUCAACCUUCGACCUCAAAUGAAGCAAGAAGACCCGCCGAAUUUAA
rnacentral:misc_RNA from 1 species